AGUAGGAGGGAGUGGGAGAAAUUAUUUUAUAUAUAUGUUUUUUUUCCGUCAGAUGAACGCUGGCGGCAGGCCUAACACAUGCAAGUCGAGCGGAUGAGUGGAGCUUGCUCCAUGAUUCAGCGGCGGACGGGUGAGUAAUGCCUAGGAAUCUGCCUGGUAGUGGGGGACAACGUUUCGAAAGGAACGCUAAUACCGCAUACGUCCUACGGGAGAAAGUGGGGGAUCUUCGGACCUCACGCUAUCAGAUGAGCCUAGGUCGGAUUAGCUAGUUGGUGAGGUAAAGGCUCACCAAGGCGACGAUCCGUAACUGGUCUGAGAGGAUGAUCAGUCACACUGGAACUGAGACACGGUCCAGACUCCUACGGGAGGCAGCAGUGGGGAAUAUUGGACAAUGGGCGAAAGCCUGAUCCAGCCAUGCCGCGUGUGUGAAGAAGGUCUUCGGAUUGUAAAGCACUUUAAGUUGGGAGGAGGGCAGUAAGUUAAUACCUUGCUGUUUUGACGUU
rnacentral:rRNA from 1 species